rnacentral:rRNA from 1 species
GGACUACUGGGGUAUCUAAUCCCGUUUGCUCCCCACGCUUUCGCGCCUCAGCGUCAGGAGAUGCCCAGAGACCCGCCUUCGCCACCGGUGUUCCUCCCGAUCUCUACACAUUUCACCGCUACACCGGGAAUUCCAAUCUCCUCUGCAUCCCUCAAGAACGGCAGUAUCGGCCGACGUUCUUCGGUUGAGCCGAAGGAUUUCACGACCGACUUGCCAUCCCGCCUACGCGCCCUUUACGCCCAGUGAUUCCGAGCAACGCUUGCCCCCUCUGUCUUACCGCGGCUGCUGGCAC